AGCAGCCGCGGUAAUUCCAGCUCCAAUAGCGUAUAUUAAAGUUGUUGCAGUUAAAAAGCUCGUAGUUGAAUUUCGGGAUCAAUUUAUCGGUCGUGCCUAUGGUAUGAACUGGUACAAUUGGUUUCUCCCUUCUGACGAAGCAUGAUGUCAUUAAUUUGGUGUCGUGGGGAGUCAGGACUGUUACUUUGAAAAAAUUAGAGUGUUUAAAGCAAGCAUUAGCUUGAAUACAUUAGCAUGGAAUAAUGAAAUAGGACGUUUGAUCCUAUUUCGUUGGUUUCUAGGAUCGACGUAAUGAUUAAUAGGGAUAGUUGGGGGCAUUAGUAUUCAAUUGUCAGAGGUGAAAUUCUUGGAUUUAUUGAAGACUAACUACUGCGAAAGCAUUUGCCAAGGAUGUUUUCAUUAAUCAAGAACGAAAGUUAGGGGAUCGAAGACGAUCAGAUACCGUCGUAGUCUUAACCAUAAACUAUGCCGACUAGGGAUCGGAUGAUGUUAAUUUUUUAAUGACUCA
rnacentral:rRNA from 1 species